GGGCGUGUGGCUCAGUUGGUAGAGCGUUCGCUUAGCAUACUUACCCCUCCUUGGUGUAUGCGAAAGGUCCUGGGUUCGAUUCCCAGCUCGUCCA